GACCUUUUGACAUAUCAUUAUAAAUUAAUUUUUAACUUUUUUAUCCAAAGGGAAAGCUAGGCAUAAUGCAUACCAUUUUGUAGGGAAUUUUCCAGAGAUGAUAUUCCAUAGAUAUUCAGAUACCUCACGACUGACCUUACUACUGGAAAUAGAGGAAAUUUAGAAUAUACUCACAAAAGGGCAUUAUACUGAACUACAUUAUUCACAUAAACUUUUUUUUUUCAAUUCUGCAAAAUAAAGAUUUUAAAGAGGUUGCUAAACAA